GACGAACGCUGGCGGCGUGCUUAACACAUGCAAGUCGAACGGAAAGGCCCUGCUUUUGUGGGGUGCUCGAGUGGCGAACGGGUGAGUAACACGUGAGUAACCUGCCCUUGACUUUGGGAUAACUUCAGGAAACUGGGGCUAAUACCGGGUAGGAGCUCCUGCUGCAUGGUGGGGGUUGGAAAGUUUCGGCGGUUGGGGAUGUACUCGCGGCUUAUCAGCUUGCUGGUGAGGUUGGGGCUUACCAAGGCUUUGACGGGUAGCCGGCAUGGGAGGGUUACCGGCCACAUUGCUCCUGAGAGAGGGACCAGACUCCAACGGGAGGCAGCAGUGGGGAAUCUGGCGCAGUGGGCGGAAGCCUGUUGUAGAAACGUCGCGUUCGGGAAACCGGCUUUUUAGGUGUAAACAGAUUUCGACUUAGACGAGGAGGGAUUGACGGUAAUGAGUAAAGAAGCACCGGCUAACUACGUG
rnacentral:rRNA from 1 species